GCGGGCGUGGCGGAACUGGCAGACGCGUACGGCUUAGGACCGUAUGGGCAACCGUGGGGGUUCAACUCCCUCCGCCCGCACCA
rnacentral:tRNA from 1 species